UGCUGGAAUAAACAAGACACU
rnacentral:piRNA from 1 species